CCAAGAGGACGUAUGUACCAUGGACCAGCUAGGAACAAGGCUGAUGCAAAUAUGGCGGCGGGUGGCGGCAGCGGAAUGCUUCCCGUACCUUACGAGAUGGCUGGUGUUGGCGGCAUGCUUCCACGUGAUGCCGCGGCUCCCAUCCCACAACAAAUGCCUGUUACAGCGUUGGCUUCCGCUCUUGCUAACGACCAUACUGGAUGGAUUAUGUUGUAACUCAAUGGUAUCAUGCUCUUGAACUCUGUGGCUCCUUUUUUCUCUAAAGAUACAUAUGCGGAAAUGCUUUUGAGGAAACCAUAAUUUUUCGAAAAGAAUGUGGUGCAUGAGCUAGAUCGCAUGAUUGAUUUGCUUGGCACUCCUUCCUUUAAAUCCAUUACAAGGCAGGCUGGUCAACCAGCUACAAUGGCGGUUGGUGCGGUUAAGGUGUAUAACGACACAUCUAUGGCUAACUGAUUUAGACCGAGAACUAAUCAUUAGGCUCUUGAACUGCUAGAAACUGUCGCUAGAAGCCAGCACCUACGCGGCCCAAAACGAGAGACUACCGCUUCGGUUCAUAGUCCAAGUCCUCUUUUUUCGAGAAGCUUUCGUUGCGUGCUUUUGUAGCUGGCUGCUUAUACGUUUCUGAUAGUUACAACUCACAGCUUCGUCUGCGUACAUCUGUAGCUAGCACUUCGAGCAAUGAUCGUGACCGUUCGAGAAUAAGAGAUGUCCCUAAUGGCAAGAAUCAAGAUCAAGAAAAUGGUGAAUUGGUUGAUUGAGGGUCAAUAAAUUUAAGAGAAGAGACCUUGACAACUUUGGAUGCUUGGGUUGCGUUUAUUGUUGUUUGAAUAAGCAGGUGGGAUCAGCAGGUUCAAAGUGACAAUGACAAUAGCGAUGGACGGGUUAUUUAGUUUGCUGCCAACCAGGUUUGUCUAAACAAUGACAAUAGCGAUGGACGGCUGGCGCUGCUGAAAUUUUUAUAAUGUUUUUUUUUUUUUUUUUUUUGUAUUUGCAAGGUGUAAUGUACAUGUUGGUGUAAUAUUAUUUGUUUCCCAAAAACUGAAGUACUGGCUAGCAUUAUUAGGUAUAAAAGUGUAAUGUACAAGUUGGUGUAUAUUA